GUCUUCCGGGAUGGCGCUUGGCUGUGGCCGCGUGGUCUCUCACGCCGGGGCGCCGGGCAGGGGAACGCGGCCACCCUGAGUCUGGUGAGUCGACUGCGGCGGCCGGACCGUGUCCGAGGUGUCCGGGGCCGUGAACGCGUGAAGGGUGGAAGAUGGAUGCCUGAAGUGUAGACUGCUGCUAGCUCAAUACCAUCUGGGAGCACAAAGGUGACCAGAAGGUAGGGUGAUAUGUCAUAAAGCACUUUGUAAUGGGAAUUUUUAUCACCUUUUAGAUUGGGGCUCCUUCUCUAGUGAGUAUUAACGUUAGUGGUACAUUCGUAGUGUUGCUCCGUCUGUAGCUAUUUAGGUGAGUUAACAAAUGGGACAGCCUGCACAGCUUAUUUUUGGGAAAGUUUUGCUGAUACAUCCUGAGAAGCCCAGGGAAAUAAAUACGCAUAGUACUGGCAUUCUGGAUCCCUUAAGAAUUGUUUUUAUGUGUAGUCAUUGAGUUUUUUAAAAACUUGUCAAAUCGCAGGCAUAUUAAUUACCAAGUUCUUGAUUAAAAUGUUACACAAAAAUAUCUGCUGCCGAAUUGAGUACUUUAUUUUUUCUCUUAGGAUGUCCUUGGUGAAGAGUUUGAAAAUUUGGUCUUCACAAGAGUUGCUUGGCUCAUUUGAAAUUGCCAGGAGUCUGAGGAUUUCUGACAUAACUGCCUGUUGGAGUCUGUAAAUACACACUUAAGACAGUGAGGAUGUGAAUAAAUAUAUUAAUGCACUUUGACAUUUGUGUUUUAAGUGAUUAACUGCCAGAAAUAGCUGUUUCUAAAAAGUUAUAAGGGAGGAGGGCUUCUUUUUUGAUCAGUUUUCACUGUUGUCACCAUAAUUAAUAGCCUUACAAUAGCUUGUGUUUGGCCCAAAGAGAAAUGUACUUUCUUCCAGUGACUCAAAAAUCGUGGCGAGAACUAGACUGAUUCUAGUGACAGGUGUGCUUUACUGCACCCAAUGCAUACAUUUUUUCCCUCCAACUAGAUUGUACACUUAAUAUUGGCAUAUCUUCUGCCUUCACUUUGCAAGAAACAACAAAUAAUGUAUUCAUGUAUUCAAAAAAUUUAUUGAAAGCACUGUACUAGGAGCUAAGAACAUGAUGACGAGCACAACACAGUUCUUCCCUUUGGAAACAAAGUUGAGUGGAGGGAAUGUCAUCACAUGUAAAACUUCACUAUGAGUUCCAUGAUAGGAUUUUCUUGGGGAAACCUGAGAAAGAGUUGAGACCAAAGGUAUGUGUCAUACUUUUCACAAGGCAAAAUUGGGGAAAUGACAUGCAGAGGCUUGGGCUAGAAAAAAGAUACCAUAAGUCCACUUACUUUUGUGACAGUUUUGGCUGCUUUCCCUCUUCAGUGCCUUGUUUCAGAAUUGAGUUGUUUACUGAGGCAUGUAAGAUGGCUAUUAUGGGAGGUGGGAGUGUUACAAAAUGAGGCUGAAGAGGUAGGUAAAGAAGCCAGACACACCACUUCAGGCUCCCUCUGGCUUUAUUAAAGCAAGAUAAGUCCAUGGUGGAAAAUCAGAUUUGCAAAAAAAGGUAGUUGAACUAGGUUGCUUAUUGUUGUCUAGGCGAGAGACCAUCUUGCACUAGUAAAAUUAGUGAAAUAAAAUUGUUUAUAGUUCGAUGACAGAGCCAACUAGACUUGGUAAUACUGGAGGUGUCCAUAACUGCUAGGUGUCGAGCUUGCACACUGAUGAGCAUAAUGACUAUAAAUCCAGUUGGGGAGCAGCAUUUAAACAGCUGAAUUCUUAAAUUACCUUUAAGAAAUCCAAAUGGUCUUUUUGCAGUAGCACAUUACUCGGUAGUCUAAACUACAGAAAUAAACCUUAAGGCCAUGGGUAUAAAUGAUAUCUACCCGGGGUAGAGGAAGAGGGCCUAGGGUUUGAAGUUAGAGAAACUCCACUAAUGGCAAGGUAAAGCAUGAUAAGCUAGAAAGGGUGGUCAGUAUGUGGUAGGAGCAAAAUAGGAUUACAUUAAAGAAGCAAAAGAAUAUCCUAAAAAUUCUCCCUGGGAUUAAGUGACACAGUGAUUGAUAUUAAUCACUUAAGAUGGAUUAGUUGAAUUGAGGGCAAUGACUAAAGAUAACUCCUUGCAUGAAGAUUGGCUGAGAAUGAGAGGAAAAUCAUAGUUGCUAGAGGGUGGGGGGUUGUAGUUAUGAAAGAUAGUUUUCUUUAGUCUUAGUUUUAAAUUUAAAACGAAGUAGCAAGGAUCUAGCUGAGAGAAUGAUUGAAUACGUUAAUAUAGGAGGAGGAGAUACAAAGAUCCUGAAAAGGCUGGGAGAGAGCAUCCAAAGCACAGGCGGAGAGACAAAAAGGUUAGGGCUGCUGGCAGCUGUGGAGAGAACUGUAUGUGGUAAGGGGGAGAUGUAAGACAUCCUGUGUAAGUAUUUUCCCCGUAGACUGCAAAGUCAUCUAUGGAGAGGAAAGGUCCAAAAUAGUCACUGGGGAGAGCAGGUGAGUUAGAUGGCCAAGCAGGGUGGAUAGAUCAUUUGAGGUUUGGGGUGAGGGAUCAACUGAAAUCCACAUAGACUUCUGAAAACACAAGACAAGAACACUUUAGAAAUUAACACUUAAAAACAAAGCUUUUUACAUCAUUUGUAAAUAACUGGUGGAACUUAACACCACAAAAUACAGUAUUAUAAAGAACUAUAUGAAUAAAAAUGUCUGCAGU
ensembl:lncRNA